UGUUGUCCUUGAUGACAAGGUUCGGAUUUCAUAUGUAAAAUGAGGAGGAAAAAAUGUCCUUCGCGUGUGUCCAGUAGUAGUAGUUAGGAUACCUGACGCAAUUAUCAUCAACGACCUUUUUCCUCUCCCAACCUUUUUUUGAUCGCAAGACGUUCGCAGGUCGUUCGGGUCCUCGUUUUUCAUCUUCUUCUUUUCAUUUCAUCGAAUUUCAAUGAGCGAUGUGUUCGCUGCGAUUGUGUCAUUUUUUGAGCGCGCUCCGAUCAUGGCAUGAGGACAAACAAAACACCGAGGGAUUGAGACAGAGGCCAAGAGCUAUUGAAUUUGCGCCUAUUACAUUACAAUUUGAGACGUUCUUUGUUCGGUGGUUUUUUUGUGUUGUGUUCCCGAGAACGUUCGUUUACUUUAUCGGACUUGAGAACAGAUAGACGUG
ensembl:ncRNA K05B2.6 ncRNA